rnacentral:lncRNA from 1 species
AUGUUUUUGGAAUUUUUGUGGAAUUUUUUGGGGAUAUUUUGGGAAUGUUUUGGGAAUAUUGUGGGGAUAUUUUGGGGAAUAUUUUGUGGAUAUUUUGGGAAUUUUUGGGGAUAUUCUGCAGAUAUUUUGGGGAUAUUUUGGGAAUUUUUUGGGAUAUUCUGGAGAUAUUUUGAGAAUUUUUUGGGAUAUUUUGGGGACAUUUUGGGGACAUUCUGGGGCUAUUUUGGGGAUGUUCUGGGGACAUUUUGGGAAUGUUCUGGGGAUAUUCUGGGGAAUAUUUGGGGAAUUUUUGUGGAUAUUUUGGGGAUAUUUUGGGGACAUUCUGGGGAUAUUUUGGGGACAUUUUGGGGAUAUUCUGGGGAUAUUUUGGGAAUUUUUGGGGAUAUUUUGGGGAUAUUCUGCAGAUAUUCUGGGGACAUUUUGGGGAUAUUCUGUGGAUAUUUUGGGGAUAUUCUGGGGAUAUUUUGGGGACAUUUUGGGGAUAUUCUGGAGAUAUUUUGGGAAUUUUUGGGGAUAUUUUGGGGACAUUUUGGGGAUAUUUUGGGAAUUUUUGGGGAUAUUCUGGGGAUAUUUUGGGAAUUUUGGGGGAUAUUCUGCAGAUACUUUGGGAAUUUUUUGGGAUAUUCUGCAGAUAUUUUGGAGAUAUUUUGGGGAUUUUUGCGGAUAUUUUGGGGAUAUUUUGGGAAUUUUUGGGGAUAUUCUGGGGAUAUAUUGUGGAUAUUCUGGGGAUAUUUUGGGGAAUAUUUUGGGGAUAUUUUGGGGAUAUUUUGGGAAUUUUUGGUGAUAUUCUGCAGAUAUUUUGGGGAUAUUUUGGGGAAUAUUUUGGGAAUUUUUGGGGAUAUUCUGGGGAUAUUCUGGGGAUAUUUUGGGAAAUUUUGCAGAUAUUUUGGGAAUUUUUGUGGAUAUUUUUGGGAUAUUUUGGGAAUUUUGGGGGAUAUUCUGCAGAUAUUUUGGGAAUGUUCUGGGGAUAUUUGGGGAUAUUUUGAGAAGUUUUGGGGAUAUUCUGCAGAUAUUUAG